UACGUAGGGGGCAAGCGUUGUCCGGAAUCAUUGGGCGUAAAGCGCGUGUAGGCGGCCCGGUAAGUCCGCUGUGAAAGUCGGGGGCUCAACCCUCGGAUGCCGGUGGAUACUGUCGGGCUAGAGUGCGGGAGAGGCGAGUGGAAUUCCUGGUGUAGCGGUGAAAUGCGCAGAGUAUCAGGAGGAACACCAAUUGCGAAGGCAGCUCGCU
rnacentral:rRNA from 1 species